GUUCAAUGGUCGCGAAGAUGAGUCCUUUGCUGUGGAGAAUUUUGUAUGGCCUGUGAAACUGGUGUGUUGGAUCUCGUGGUGGAGCCUCCAGGAGGUUAAAGGAUUGUGUAAUUGGAUUCUGGAGGUGUUUUUAGGGUUUUUGCGGAGAGUGUUGAGAGGUUUGAAGGUGAGGUGGAAGUUUAAGUGGUGGUGGAGUUGGUUUGAUGACAUGGGGGGAGCUUUUUGGCUAUGGUUGUCGACGACGAAGAAAGAAAGCCAACCUCACUCAUGAUGCUUUCAAGCUCUACCAUUUUAACCUCGAAACAGAGUUCUCAACCGUCGAUACCAUUUCAAGUUGCGAGUGUGUUCAAAAAAACUAUGGGAUUAGACAAUUUCAGGUUUGAAUCAGAAAUUCAUUGGACAUGUUGUGUAGAACUAGGAAAAGACUCUUUAUCAAUCUGCUGUUUAACUUCAUCUAAGCAAGCAUCUUGAUCACCACAAGGUACCUCAACGUGAUGGCCUGUAAUUAACGUUUCA